AUUGAACGCUGGCGGCAGGCCUAACACAUGCAAGUCGAACGAGUGGCGGACGGGUGAGUAAUGUCUGGGAAACUGCCUGAUGGAGGGGGAUAACUACGGGAAACGGUAGCUAAUACCGCAUACCAGAAGAUGUGCCCAGAUGGGAUUAGCUGGCUGGGGGGGUAAUGGCUUACCAAGGCGACGAUCCCUAGCUGGUCUGAGAGGAUGACCAGCCACACUGGAACUGAGACACGGCCCAGACUCCUACGGGAGGCAGCAGUGGGGAAUAUUGCGCAAUGGGCGCAAGCCUGAUACAGCCAUGCCGCGUGAAGGAAGAAGGCCUUCGGGUUGUAAAGUACUUUCAGCGGGGAGGCGUUACCCACAGAAGAAGCACCGGCUAACUCCGUGCCAGCCGCCGCGGUAAUAC
rnacentral:rRNA from 1 species